CCCUAACCGUGCAAAGGUAGCAUAAUCAUUUGCCUUUUAAUUGAAGGCUUGUAUGAAUGGUUUGACGAGGGCUAAGCUGUCUCUUUUGAAAUAUUUAGAAAUUAACUUUUAGGUGAAGAGGCCUAAAUUUGGCUGAGGGACAAGAAGACCCUGUUGAGCUUUAGUUUUAUACUAAAUAGGUUAUUAUGAUAUUUGUAAUAAGCGUGGACUUAGGUGUAAUGGGAUUUUAGUAUGAAUCUUUAGUUGGGGCGACUGAGGAACAGUUAGAGCUUCCUUUGGUUUAGAAGGGCGAAUGUGCGCUUAAAAAUGGUGUAUUCUUGCAGGUUGUUUUGAUCCAGUAAGAUACUGAUUAAAGGAAAAAGUUACCACAGGGAUAACAGCGUAAUCUUUCUGGAGAGAUCUUAUCGAAAGGAGGGUUUGCGACCUCGAUGUUGGACUAA
rnacentral:rRNA from 1 species